UACGUAGGGCGCAAGCGUUGUCCGGAAUUAUUGGGCGUAAAGAGCUCGUAGGCGGUUUGUCGCGUCUGCUGUGAAAACCUAAGGCUCAACCUUGGGCUUGCAGUGGGUACGGGCAGACUAGAGUGCGGUAGGGGUGACUGGAAUUCCUGGUGUAGCGGUGGAAUGCGCAGAUAUCAGGAGGAACACCUAUGGCGAAGGCAGCACUCUGGUACAUGAUUGACGCUGAGACGCGAAAGCAUGGGGAGCAAACAGG
rnacentral:rRNA from 1 species